rnacentral:rRNA from 1 species
UACGUAGGGAGCAAGCGUUGUCCGGAAUCAUUGGGCGUAAAGCGCGCGUAGGUGGCUUCGUAAGUCCGUUGUGAAAGUCAAAGGCUCAACCUUUGAAAGCCGAUGGAUACUGCGGAGCUAGAGUACGGAAGAGGCGAGUGGAAUUCCUGGUGUAGCGGUGGAAUGCGCAGAUAUCAGGAGGAACACCAAUAGCGAAGGCAGCUCGCUGGGACGUUACUGACAGCUGAGGCGCGAAAGCGUGGGGAGCGAACAGGAUUAGAU